rnacentral:rRNA from 1 species
AUUGAACGCUGGCGGCAUGCCUUACACAUGCAAGUCGAACGGCAGCACGGGUGCUUGCACCUGGUGGCGAGUGGCGAACGGGUGAGUAAUACAUCGGAACGUACCUUAUCGUGGGGACUAACGCAGCGAAAGCUGUGCUAAUACCGCAUACGCCCUGAGGGGGAAAGCGGGGGAUCGCAAGACCUCGCGCGAUUAGAGCGGCCGAUGCCUGAUUAGCUUGUUGGUGGGGUAAAAGCCCACCAAGGCGACGAUCAGUAGCUGGUCUGAGAGGACGAUCAGCCACACUGGGACUGAGACACGGCCCAGACUCCUACGGGAGGCAGCAGUGGGGAAUUUUGGACAAUGGGGGCAACCCUGAUCCAGCAAUGCCGCGUGAGUGAAGAAGGCCUUCGGGCUGUAAAGCUCUUUUGUCAGGGAAGAAACACCGGCUCUAACACAGUCCGGGAAUGACGGUACCUGAAGAAUAAGCACCGGCUAACUACGUGCCAGCCGCCGCCGUAA